GGGGAUUUAGCUCAGUGGUUUCAGCAUCUGCCUUGCAAGCACAAGGUCCGGAGUUCAAUCCCCA
rfam:Heterocephalus glaber contig48389, whole genome shotgun sequence.